rnacentral:rRNA from 1 species
AUUCCAGCUCUAAUAGUGUAUAUUUAAGUUGUUGGAGUUAAAAAGCUUGUUGUUGAACCUUGGGAUGGGUCGCCCGGUCCGCCUUCGGUGAGCACCGCUCGGCUUGUCCCUUCUGUUGGUGAUACGCUCCUGGCCUUAACUGGCCGGGUCGUGCCUCCGGCGGUGUUACUUUGAAGUAAUUAGAGUGCUCAAAGCAAGCCUACGCUCUGUAUACAUUAGCAAGGGAUAACAUCAUAAGAUUUCGAUCCUAUUGUGUUGGCCUUCGGGAUCGGAGUAAUGAUUAACAGGGACAGUCAGGGGCAUUCAUAUUUCAUAGUCAGAGGUGAAACUCUUGGAUUUAUGAAAGGCGAACAACUGCGAAAUCAUUUACCAAGGAUGUUUUCAUUAAUCAAGAACAAAAUUUGGGGGCUCAGAGACGAUCAGAUACCGUCCUAGUCUUAACCAUAAACGAUGCCGACCAGGGAUCAACGGAUGUUGCUUUAGGACUCCGCUGGCACCUUAUGAGAAAUCAAAGUUUUUGGGUUCUGGGGGAGUAUGGUCGCAAGGCUGAAACUUAAAGGAAUUGACGGAAGGGCACCACUAGAAGUGGAGCCUCCGGCAUAAUUUGACUCAACACGGAGAAACUUACCAGAUCCAGACAUAGUAAGGAUUGACAGACUGAGAGCUCUUUCUUGAUUCUAUGGGUGGUGGUGCAUGGCCGUUCUUAGUUGGUGGAGCGAUUUGUCUGGUUAAUUCCGUUAACGAACAAGACCUCAGCCUGCUAACUAGCUACGUGGAGGCAUCCCUUCACUGCCGGCUUCUUGGAGGGACUAUGGCCGUUUAGGCCAAGGAAGUUUGAGGCAAUAACAGGUCGGUGAUGCCCUUAGGUGUUAUGGGCCGCACGCGCGCUACACUGAUGUAUUCAACGAGUUCACACCUUGGCCGACAGCCAGGGUAAUCUUUGAAAUUUCAUCGUGACAGGGAUAGAUCACUGCAAGUUGGUCUUCAACGAGGAAUUCCUAGUAAGCGUGAGUCAUCAGCUCGCAUUGACUACGUCCCUGCCCUUUGUACACACAGCCCGUCGCUCCUACUGAUUUAAUGAUCCGGUGAAGUGUUCGGAUCGCGGCGACGUGGGUGGUUUUUCGUCUGCGACGUCGCGAAAAGUCCACUAAACCUUAUCAUUUAGACGAAGGAGAAGUCGUAACAAGGUUUCCGUAGGUAAACCUGCAGAAG